GACGAACGCUGGCGGCGUGCUUAACACAUGCAAGUCGAACGGGCCUUGUCCCCUUUUUUUUUGGGGGUGGGGUUAGUGGCGAACCGGUGAGUAACACGUGAGUAACCUGCCCCUCACUUCUGGAUAACCGCUUGAAAGGGUGGCUAAUACGGGGUGUUCUGGCCUGCUCGCAUGGGUGGGUUUUGAAAGAUUCGACCGGUUUGGUUGUUUUGGUGGGGGAUGGGCUCGCGGCCUAUCAGGUUGUUGGUGGGGUGAUGGCCUGCCAAGGCUUUGACGGGUAGCCGGCCUGAGAGGGUGGGCGGUCACACUGGGACUGAGACACGGCCCAGACUCCUGCGGGAGGCAGCAGUGGGGAAUAUUGCACAAGGGGCGCAAGCCUGAUGCAGCGACGCCGCGUGAGGGAUGGAGGCCUUCGGGUUGUGAACCUCUUUCGCCAGUGAAGAAGGUCCUGCUCUUUGUGGUGGGGUUGACGGUAGCUGGGUUAAUGAAGCGCCGGCUAACUACGUG
rnacentral:rRNA from 1 species